GGCACAGUGGCGUAGUGGUCAGCACUGCUGCCUCACAGCAAGAAGAUUGUGGGUUCAAAUCCGGCCUGUAGCCU